AGAGCAACAAUGGAACCAGUUUUCAAAAGAACCACGGCUUUUAAUGUGUUCUGCAGCAAAAGGCUGAAGGAUUGGACAAAUACUAAUUCUCUGGAAGUUGCAUUAAAGGAAUUGCCAAAGGCCAAAAGAACACGAGUCACAUGGGAUGCAAUUACAGUUAAAGCAUAAGAAAACAGCUUGGGGCCUCUUGGGGCCGUUGAUCACAUACCCAGUUCAAUAGAAAUUGAAUAAAUUUGCCAGAACAAUCCAGUUUUGGCUAAAUUUGAUAUUAAUUCUUUAAUAUGAAUCAAAUUGACCAGAAAAUUUAUAAAAGUAGAAUGAAAAGAAAAUAACAUUUAUUAUUUGUGGUUUACAUUUGUGCAUAGCUUAGGAUGCACUUUAAAUUUAGUCAGAUAAGACAUUAUGAAUCAUCUUGCAUAUUGUGACUUCUGGGUAUACAUACAAAUAUUGGCGCUUCAGUAACUGCAUUGGCUUUGGAGCAGAGUAGUGCUGAAUGAUUUUCCAUUGCAGUCCUAACAGCAGAUUGUAAAAUGUGAUUCAUAUUCAUCAAGUCAAUACUGUCAUGUAUAUAUGGGAGUAAGUGUGCUGUUUUCUCUUUUCGUUUGUUUUAAAUUUGUAUUAAUAUAUUUCGCUCAUUGUAAAAUUUCUUCUUCAAUGUGGACAUAAAAACAUUUCAUGGGAUUAAAAAGUGUAUGUCAGUUUUCAGAAGAAA
rnacentral:misc_RNA from 1 species